rnacentral:tRNA from 2 species
GCGCACGUGGCGAAAUUGGUAGACGCACUGUCUUCAGGCGGCAGCGCCCUUGGCGUGGAAGUUCGAAUCUUCUCGUGCGCA